GAGCCGGCCAAUGCUAAUGAGCGGAGCAGCCCGGAGGAACUUCAUUCCCCGUCUCCGUGUCAGGAUCGCAGAAAUUAUGCCCCUUCUGUCACCAUGAACUGGCUCUCCAGUUCCCAGGGAGUUGUCCUCACUGCCUACCACCCCAGCGGCAAGGACCAGGCCGUGGGGGGGGACCAUGGCAAGGGAGGGGAGGAAGCCACCGCAAGCCGCAAAUAUGGUCAGUACACCAUGAACCAGGAAAUCACCAAAGUUCGCGAAAAACCGCCAUUUGACCGAUCAAGCUCUCAGGAUUCUUUGGAUGAACUAUCUAUGGAGCCCUAUUGGAUGGAAAUAGAAAAUAUCGAGAAAUCAAGUGAAAACAGACAAGAUCAAGAAGUGGUCGUUGUCAAAGAACCUGAUGAGGGAGAACUGGAAGAAGAGUGGCUUAAGGAAGCUGGUUUGUCCGAUCUCUUCGGAGAGUCUGCUGGGGAUUCCCAAGAAAGCAUGGUGUUUUUGUCAACACUGACUCGGACCCAGGCCGCUGCUGUUCAGAAACGAGUAGAGACAGUCUCCCAGACCUUGAGGAAAAAAAACAAACAGUACCAGAUUCCUGACGUCAGAGACAUAUUUGCUCAACAGAGAGAGUCAAAAGAAAAAGUUCCAGAUGGCAUCGACACACAGUCAGUCAGAACAAAUGAAAAUAAAUAUCAAGGAAAAGAUGACCAGGCAUCUAGCCUAGUUGUGGGUAAAAAAGAGCUGAUACCCCUGGUUGCUGAAGAGGCACCUGCCUCUGAAACCGAUAUCAACCUGGAUGUAUCGUUUGCAGAGCAAGCCGUCAAUCAGAAAGAGAGCUCCAAGGAGAAGGCCCAGAAGAGCAAAGACUGUGAUGCUCCGUUAUCUAAUUUCAGAUGUCCAAAAGACAAAACAGGCAUCACCCGGAUUGGUGACCUAGCACCCCAGGACAUGAAGAAAGUUUGCCGUUUAGCCCUCAUUGAGCUGACUGCCCUCUAUGAUGUAUUGGGUAUUGAACUGAAGCAACAAAAAGCUGUGAAAAUCAAAACAAAAGAUUCCGGCCUUUUUUGUAUUCCAUUGACAGUGUUGUUAGAACAAGAUCAGAGGAAAGUACCAGGAACUCGAAUACCCUUGAUAUUUCAAAAACUGAUUUCCCGAAUUGAAGAGGGAGGUUUGGAAACUGAAGGCCUCUUGAGAAUACCUGGAGCCGCUGGUAGAAUCAAGAAUCUUUGCCAAGAACUGGAAGCAAAGUUUUAUGAAGGGACUUUUAAUUGGGAAAGUGUCAAACAGCAUGAUGCCGCCAGCCUGCUGAAGCUCUUCAUCCGGGAGCUGCCCCAACCGCUGCUCAGUGUAGAAUAUCUCAAAGCCUUUCAGGCCGUCCAGAAUCUUCCAACCAGGAAGCAACAACUACAGGCUUUGAACCUUCUUGUCAUCCUCCUGCCUGAUGCAAACAGAGACACACUUAAGGCCCUGCUUGAAUUUCUCCAAAGAGUAAUAGACAAUAGAGAGAAAAAUAAGAUGACAACCAUGAAUGUAGCCAUGGUCAUGGCCCCGAAUCUCUUCAUGUGUCACACACUGGGUUUGAAGUCCAACGAGCAGCGAGAAUUCGUCAUGGCAGCUGGGACAGCUAAUAUCAUGCACUUAUUGAUUAAGUGUCAACAAGUCCUGUGGACAAUUCCCAAGUUUAUUGUCAACCAAGUGAGGAAGCAAAACAGUGAAAAUCAUAGAAAAGACAAAAAAGCCAUGAAGAAAUUGCUGAAGAAAAUGGCUUAUGACCGAGAGAAAUAUGAAAAGCAAGAUAAGAAUACAAGCGAUGUAGAUCUUAGAAAAAGGGCAUUCCAUUCUGAGGAAAUCAUGAGGAAGCCCAGAAAAAGGAAUAGCAAGUGAUGUGUUGUGGCCAUGGGUAGGGAACAAGAGAGAGAGAGAGAAGGAAAAGGAUUAAAUGCACUCAGCCCAGCCUGAGUUUAUGGGGCAUCAAAAAGAAAGAAUGUCAGAGGAUUCCAUCUGGAGAGAGGAGACUGGAGCAGCAACAUGAUGGGAAACAGAUGCAGGUGAAAGAGCUGGGGUAGAACCCGAUGGUUAUCUGUCCUUGAUCACACGUCCUUAUGAGAUUUUUAUUUAUUUGUUGGAGAGAGAAAGUGCAUGCAGGGGAGGCAGCAGAGGGAGAGGGAGAAGCAGACUCCCCGCUGAGCAGGGAUCCCAAUACGGGGCUUGAUAUCAGGACCCCAGGAUCAUGAUCUGAGCUGAAGACAGAUACUUAAUUGACUGAGCCACCCAGGUGCCCCUAACAUUUCUUUUUUUAUAAAAGUAUAGUUAAGACAUAACGUUACAUUAGUUUCAGGUGCACAACAUAGUGAAUGGACAACUCUGUGUUACGCUCACCACAACUGUAGCUACCAUCAUCUGUCACCAUACAAUGCUCUUACAAUACCAUUGACUAUAUUCUCUCUGCUGUGCCUUUUAUCCCUAUGACUUAGUCAUUCCAUAACUGGAAACCUGCAUCUCCCACUCUCUUCCCACCCCUCCAACCCCUGACAACCAGUAAUUUGUUCUCUGUAUUUGGAUCUGUUUCUGCUUUGUAUUUAUUUCAGUUAACAUAAUACCCUUUAGGUCCACCCAUAUUGUCACAGAUGGCAAGAUCUCAUUCUUUUUAAUGGCUGAGUAAUAUCCCAUUGUAUAUAUAUAUAUGCCGUAACUUCUUUAUCCAUUCUUCUAUCAAUGGCCGCUUGGGCUGUUUCGGUAUCUUGGUUAUUAUAAAAAUGUUGCAGUGAACAUAGAAGUACAUAUAUCUUUUCUAAUUAGUUCUUUCUUUUUUCUUUGGGUAAAUACGCAGUAGUGGAAUUACUGGAUCAUGUGAUAGUUCUAUUUUUAAUUUCUUUUUUUUUUUUUAAGAUUUUUAUUUAUUUAUUUGAUGGACAGAGAUCACAAGUAGGCAGAGAGGCAGGCAGAGAGAGGAGGAAGCAGGCUCUCUGCUCAGCAGGGACCUUGAUCCCAGGACCCUGAGAUCAUGACCUGAGCCGAAGGCAGAGGCUUUAACCCACUGAGCCACCCAGGCGCCCCUAUUUUUAAUUUCUUAAGGAACCUCCAUACUAAUUUCCAUAGUGGCUGUACAAAUUUACAUUCUCACCAAUAGUGCACAAGGGUUCCUUUUUCUCCACAUUCUCACCAAUAUUUGUUACUUCUUGUCUUUUUGAUUAUAGCUAUUCUGAUGGGUAUAAUGUGGUAUCUCACUAUGAUUUUAAUUUGUAUUUCCCUGGUGAUUAGUGGUGCUGAGAAUGUUCCCAUUUGUCUGUUGGCCAUUUGUAUGGUUCUUUUGGAAGAGUGUCUAUUCAGGUCCUCUGACCAUUUUUUAAUUGGGUUAUUUGGGUUUUUAUUUGGUGUCAAGUUGUAGAAGUUCUUAAUAUAUCUAAGAUAGUAACCCUUUGCUGAUAUGUCAUUUGCAAAUAUUUUCUCUGAUUCAGUAGGUUGACUUUUUUUUUCCUUGAUGUGCAAAAGCUUUUAUUUUGGUGUAGUCCCAGUAGUUUUUUCUUUUAUUUCCCUUGCCUGAGGAAACAACUAGAAAAUUGUUCCUGGUGUCAAAGAAAUUACUGCCUAUGUUUUCUUCUAGGAGUUUUAUGAUCUCAGGACUUACUUUUAUUUUUGUAUUGUGUAAGCUGUCCAGUUUCAUUCUUUUCCAUGUAGCCAUCCAGUUUUCCCAGCACCACUUAUUAAGAAAUUAUCUUAUCCCCAUUGUAUAUUCUUACCUUCUUUGUCAUAGAUUAAUUGACCAUGUAAGAGUGGGUUUAUUUCUGGGUUUUCUGUUGUAUUCCAUUGAUCUAUUUUUGUGUUGGUACCACGCUGUUUUGAAUACUAUAGCUUUAUAGUGUAUCUUGAAAUCUGAGAGCUUCCAGCUUUGUUCUUUCUCAAGAUAACUUUGGCUAUUUGGGCUUUUUUUGUGAUUCCAUACAGUAAAUUUUAGGACUGUUUGUUCUAUUUCUAUGAAAAAUGCUAUUGAUAACUUCAUAGGGAUUGCUUUAAAUCUAUAAUUUGCUUUGGCUAGAACAGACAUUUUAACAAUAUUACUUCUUCCAAUCCAUGAGCAUGGGAACAAUUUAUUCUCAGUUGAAAGGUUGAUUUAAACAAAUAGUUCUUUGUCUUUUUAUUUUAUAGGUGUCUAUUCUCCAUAGUCUUCUAAGGAAAAGGGAUUUUGACAAUGUUUAAUUUAAAGAGGCUCCUUUGAUUUUAAUAUCUGGAUCCUGAUAUCUCUGGUUCCUGUUGUGAUUUUGUUCAGAUAUUUAUUCAAGAGCUUUGUUCUCCUAUGACUCUUCUUUAUCAUUACUGUACCUUUUCAGAGAUGAGCUUCUGGACACACUUGAACCCAUUGGUACCUAGUAGAGUCAGAACAAUCACAUUUGUGAAGCUAUUUAUUAUCUUAUACUUUUAAAUAUAAUAUUCUGGCAUGGUUUAGGAAUUCAGUGUAAUUAUAUACAUUACAUUGGUUUAAACCAAUAUUAUUUAGAUUAUUACAUAAUUUUUUUAAAGAUUUUAUUUAUUUAUUUAACAGAAAGAGAUCACAAGUAGGCAGAGAGGCAGGCAGAGAGAGGAGGAAGCAGGCUCCCUGCUGAGCAGAGAGCCCGAUGUGGGCCUUGAUCCCAGCACCCUGGGAUCAUGACCUGAGCCGAAGGCAGAGGCUUUAACCCACUGAGCCACCCAGGCACCCCAGAUUAUUACAUAAUUUUUAAUAAAUUUGUUAUUUUAAUCUCCUUGAAACAAAUUCCGUAUUAAUCCCCUUUCUUUUAUCCUCACAUUAUUUUUUUUAAAGAUUUUAUUUAUUUAUUUUACAGAGAGAGAUCACAAGUAGCAGAGAGGCAGGCAGAGAGAGAGAGAGAGAGAGGGAAGCAGGCUCCCUGCUGAGCAGAAAGCUUGAUGCAGGACUCGAUCCCAGGACCCUGAGAUCAUGACCUGAGCCAAAGGCAGCAGCUUAACCCACUGAGCCACCCAGGUGCCCCUUAUCCUCACAUUAUUGUUUCUGAUAAUACCUACUUUAAGUUUUCAGUUAUUCAGUAGAUUUACUACCCAUUAUGAGAUGCUGGGCACCUUGAUGUUGUGACUGUAAUGAAAUUAAUUUGUGCAAAUUUUCCUCAUCAGAUUCUUAAUUUAUGUUAUCUGAUAAAAAAUUAUAUAUGGUAUAUCAUAAUUAUCUCUAAUAAAUUAGAAACCAAUUUGUAAGAAAAAAUAAAUUGUUAAAUUUUGUCUAAUUCACUAUUUACUUACCAGCACUAAAUUAUGUGCAGUAAUAAUAUUUUUCAACUUUUAAGAAGUGACUGCAUGUAGUAGUUGAAAACUUUUUUUAAUUGUAAUUGAGAAAUAAAUAAUGAAAAUGUUAAAAUGAACCAAUUGAUGUUUUAUACUACAAAAAUAUAAAAAUCGCAAACAUUAGAGCAUAUGGCUUUGAUCCAUUUAUGAUGCCAUAACACUGCUGAAAUUUUAAUCAAAAUAUUAAUAUAGAGCUUGAAGUCCGGAAUUGUGAUGCCACCAAUGUUGGCUUUCUUUUUCAAUAUCCCUUUGGGUAUUCGACCCAGCAAUUGCACUAUUGGGUGUUUACCCUAAAGAUACAAACGUAGUGAUCCAAAGGGGCACAUGCACCCGAAUGUUUAUAGCAGCAAUGUCCACAAUAGCCAAACUAUGGAAAGAACCUAGAUGUCCAUCAACAGAUGAAUGGAUCAAGAAGAUGUGGUAUAUAUACACAAUGGAAUACUAUGCAGCCAUCAAAAGAAAUGAAAUCUUGCCAUUUGCGACAACAUGGAUGGAACUAGAGCGUAUCAUGCUUAGUGAAAUAAGUCAAGCAGAGAAAGACAACUAUCAUAUGAUCUCCCUGAUAUGAGGAAGUGGUGAUGCAACAUGGGGGCUUAAGUGGGUAGGAGAAGAAUAAAUGAAACAAGAUGGGAUUGGGAGGGAGACAAAUCAUAAGUGACUCUUAAUCUCACAAAACAAACUGAGGGUUGCUGGGGGGAGGGGGUUUGGGAGAAGGGGGGUGGGAUUAUGGACAUUGGGGAGGGUAUGUGCUUUGGUGAGUGCUGUGAAGUGUGUAAACCUGGUGAUUCACAGACCUGUACCCCUGGGGAUAAAAAUAUAUGUUUAUAAAAAAUAAAAAAUUAAAAAAUAUAUUAAUAUGAAUUCUGUAUAUUACAAUCCAACAAAAGGAAUUUACCAAUAAAUUUACUUUUACUAUAUAUUUAAAGUGGGCAUUGCCUUCAAAAUGAGAAAAGUCUCAGUCCUUCUCUUUUCUCUCCUUCUCUUCUUCCAUCUCCAUCUGUUUAAUAUAGAAAGGCUGGCUGGGUUUAUUUGAUACCUCUUAGAAGACUCAUGACCAUCAUUUAUUUAAUUAAAUAAAUCCUGACAGUUUUAACCCUGAAAAUACUCUAUAGAGUUUUUAAUGCAAAAUACAUCUCGAUGAAAUACUGUCACCUGAAAUUUGUAGCAUCGUUUGGUCAGUUUUGAUUUGGGGCUCAUACUUGAUAUUAUGUGUUUUUCUUAUUCAUCCUGUUUUGUAUAUGUGGCAUGUCUUACUCCGUCUACAGUCAGCAGUAUUUAAUGUUGAUAUUUCAGUUUUUUGUUUUUUGUUUUUUUUUUAUAAAUUUUAUUUAUUUAUUUGACAGAGAGAGAUCACAAGCAGGCAGAGAGGCAGGCAGAGAAAGAGGAGGAAGCAGGCUCCCUGCCAAGCAGAGAGCCUGACCUGGGGCUCGAUCCCAGGACCCUGGUAUCAUGACCUGAGCUGAAAGCAGAGGUCUUAACCCUCUGAGCCACCCAGGUGCCCUGAUAUUUUGUUUUUUUUUUAAAAAAGUUUUAUUUAUUUGGGGGGUACCUGGGUGAUUCAGUCGGUCAAGCAUCUGCUUACAGCUCAGGUCAUGAUCCUGUGGUCCUGGGAUUGAGUUCCACAUUGGGCUCUCUGCUUAGCACAGAGUCUGCUUCUCCCUUUCCUGUUCCCCCUGCUUGUUAGCAUGAGAGUGGUGAACGGGCAGAGGCAGAGGGAGAGGGAGAGAAUCUCAAGCAGAUGCCCCACUGAGCAAAGAACCCAACAUAGGUCUCGAUCCCAGGACCCUGAGAUCAUGACAUGAGCUGAAAUCUAGAUUUGGGCACUCAACCAACUGAGGCACCCAGGCCUCCCUGAUAUUUUAGUUUUAGAGCUGAUUUGCCCAUUUCUCUAAAGUGCCUAUUAGAGUACCUUUGAUGAAUUCUGGGGUUGGUGCAUAGCUUAAGUCAGUUAAUUCAAAACAUACUCUUCAAAUUCAGUCAGUCUAUUCCAAUACUUCUUUUGUGAUUUUUACCGGUCAGUUUGAUUUCUAUUAUAGGUAAGAUAACAGGCUUUAUUAGAAAAUAUUGUAUAAUUGUCUAAAGGGAUUUUAAUGUACUGAUCUAAUUUAAGUGUUUGAUUUAUCUUAUGUAGUUCAAAAGUAACAAAAUGAUUAAAAGAUUAUAUGCAUGUUUUUAUGAUUAGGUGUUAUAUACAAGAGUUUGAGAAUCAAAAGUUUAGGCCAUACUUCUAGAAAAGAAUUUUAUUUUUUUUUAAGAUUUUAUUUAUUUAUUUGACAGAGAGAGAUCACAAGGAGGUAGAGAGGCAGGCAGAGUGAGAGGGAGGAAGCAGGCUUGCUGCUGAGCAGAGAGCCUCUAUAAAGGAAUUUUAAAGUCAAUAGUGUAUCUGGCCACAAAGAAUCUGUUCCUGGCUCCAACAUUAUUAAAUAGGUAAGACUGGAUGUGUGUGUGUGUGUGUGUGUGUGUGUGUGUGUGUGUGUGUAAAAAUCAGAGGCUGAACUAGCAGGAGAGAGAAAUUAUCAAUAAAAAGUGAAAUAAGAAGAUGUUAACUGUUUUUUUCUUUUAAUUUUAUUUAUUUAUUUGACAGAGAGAGAGAGAGAGAGAGAGAGCGAGCGGGAGCGCCAGACAGCCAAAGAGCCAGAGAGCCAGAGGAAAUGCAAGGGGAGAAGCAGAAGCAGGGAGCCUGAGGUAGGGCUCGAUCCCUGGACCCUGAGAUCAGAGCUGCAGGCAGAUGCUUAACCAACUGAGCCAUGAAGAAGAUGGUGAGAAUGGAAAAUGAUGUGACACUUGAGAUAUAAUAGCCAUAUCCUACUGGAGUCUGAAAUGGUUGAAACAUGGAAUCCUCACUCUUCUUUUCCUGGCAUUUGUUCUCCCACUGAAAGUGUGACAGGCUAACUAGUCCCGCAGAAGAAUGAUGGGGUGUUACUGUGAGCCAUGCAACGUGCUGGGUGCUUUGUAUCAUUUAUUCCCUCAGAAUAAUCCUUGCAGGUAGAGAGCAUCCUCCUUACUUUUCAAUGGGUCAUCUUACAUUUAGAGAGGACAGGUAACCUGUCAGAGUCCACUGCGUAAAAGUAGGUGGGCUAGGGUAGGGCAGGCUGGCAGGCGCAGUUCUCAGAUCACUGGAGUAAAGGCUCAGUAUGCGUCCUUAGUGGUCCCCAACUUGGAGGGGUUGAGGGGGGCCAUUCGCCACAUCGCACUUGCUCAGAGGGGAAAUCAGCUAUCCAAUGGGAUGCUGCAGAGGAAUAAAGGUUGAAAGCCUUUCCAUUUAUCUUUUUUAAAAAGUUACGAAAACAAAAUACAUGUAAGAAUUUUUUUUAGAUGAUGAGAAUCAUCUCUAGUCCAUACUCCAUCUGCUGCUAGCAUCUGAUAUAUUUCUUGCAAGGGUUUUUUAAUGCGUUUUUCUAUCUAUUGAUGUAGAUGUGAUUAUGCAUUGUGUAUGGUUUUAUAUCCUGUUUUCUCCAUGUCACGUAAUGUCGUAUGUCAUCAUCAUUUUGUAUUGUUUAAACGGAAAGAUUUUAUGUACAAGACUGUGAUGACAUAUUAAAUUUUGCAUCUUAUAGACCUGUUUUUACACUUCUAGGUACCACUAAUCAUGUUGUUUGAAUAGAGUUUAAGGGGACACCCUGCCAUGUUUCCAAUUUUCAAUCUCGAAAGCUAGUGGGGUGAGUUUGUAACCCACACUCCACACUUUUCCUGACUGACCUCCACACAUACUUGCUCACUCUGUCAUUUACAUUAAUGUCUGAUUCCUCAGAUCUGCUUCUCCAUCUCUCCCUUGCUAGCAAUGAUGAUAUCGUAUUCAUUUUUUCAUUUAGGAGGCUCUUAAAAGAUUAUUUGUUAUAAAUUGUCAAACCUCUAACUUUUAGUCACCUUUAAAAAGCAGACACUUCUCUCCACACAAAGAACUAAAAUAAGAGAAAGGAAUCAAAUUAAAAGAUAUGUAUAGUUCCAGAAUCUGAAACUAUAAAAAUGUAACUCAAUAGGGAUGGAAAUUCUAAGAAAUGUAAUUAUAACCACAUGGCAUAAAUAACUAUAAUGUGCAAGAGAAGGGGAGAUAGCUGUUGGAAUUUAGAUACCUGGGUUUUUGUGCCAACUAUCAAAAAUGUGUGUGAUCACAGCCCAUGAGGUAUGUUCUAGGGCUUUGUUUUCCCAUGUGUAAAUUAAGAGUCAGAAUCUUCAAUUCUCUCCUAGCCCUGAUGUUCUCUGAGUCUUUGUACACGAGCCCUCAGGACCGUCACUCCAUUUCUCUUUUGCUUUUGUCUUGUCUAAGUGCAUGCUCUGUUUCGGAGAAGUUAAAACAUACACUGCUGAGAGAAAAUGGAAAUUGGAAUUAGAACAGAAGGUUACAGGAAAACUUAAAUGAGUAAAAUCUCCAGUCCCAGAUGGGAAAGUAUCUUUAUUUUCAGAAAAAGGGAAAAGAUGUGAUCUUGAGAAACCACGGAGAGAUAGAUAUGCUUGAGAUUCCCUAUAAAACAAAGUUUGUGUGGGCCCUUAGAAAAGAAAGGUGAUCACCGGGGAUCCGCAGGCUUCUCCACCAAUUAACUGGACCAAGGCAAGAUGGUCUGGCUUAGACACCUGACUCGAGAGAAGUUCGAGUGGUUUAAAGGCCCCCAAGAUUGUGGUUGACUGAAUAGGGGACCUGAUGAUGAGCUAAUAGCGGGAUCCAUCAGUUUAAAACAUUGAAGUAGGGGUGCCUGGGUGGCUCAGUGUGUUAAGCCUCUGCCUUCAGCUCAUGUCAUCAUCUCAAGGUCCUGGGAUCAAGCCCCACAUCAGGCUCUCUGGUUCAGCGGGGAGCUUGCUUCCCCCACUCUCUCUCUGCCUGCCUCUCUGCCUACUUGAGAUUUCUGCCUGUCAAAUAAAUAAAUAAAAUCUUAAAAAAAAAAAACAACAUUGAAGUAUUUUCAGGUAUAAAGUAUGAGGACAGACGAAUGGAACGAGAGGUAUUGCUGUCCCCUGAACUGGGCACUUUGAAGAAUAUAGUCUAUUCUAGGUGCCGCAUUUUGAAAGAUAUAUUUCAAACUUAAGAAUAUUGAUCAGUGCACAUAUGGGAAUUAGAAGUCAGGUCACAUGAGGGGGUGCCUGGGUGGCUCAGUCAGUUAAGCAUCUGCCUUCAGCUCAGGGCAUGAUCUCAGCAUCCUAGGAUCGAGCCCCAUGUUGGGCUCCCUGCUCAAGGGGGAAGUCUAGUUCUCCAUCUCCCUCUGCUCCUACCCUCCCACCCAUGCUCUCUCUGUCUCUCUUUCUCAAAUAAAUAAAAUCUUUUUAAAAAUAAAAUAAAAUAUUGUGUUCCUGGAUGGCUCAGUUGGUUAAGUGUUUGCCUUCAGCUCAGGUCAUGAUCACAGGGUCCUCUGAUUGAGUCCCCCACUAGGCUCCCGGCUCAGCAAGGAGUCUGCUUCUCCUUCUCCCUCUACCACUCCCUCUACUUGUGCUCUCUCUCUUGCACUCUCUCUCUCUCAAAUAAAUAAAUAAAAUCUUUAAAAAAAUGUAAAAAAAAAAAAGAAAUUAGGUCACAUGAAGAAUGCCGAGAUUAUUGACUAUUUACCCUGGGGGAAAAUAUUUUGCUAUUUUUUUUCUUUCUUAAUUGAAGUAUCAUUGACAUACAAUGUCAUGUUAGUUUCAGGUGGACAACAUAGGGAUUUGACAAGUCUUUAUGUUAUGCCGUGCUCACUGAAAGUGUAAGGACUUCACUAUUUUCAAAUCCUGGAAGAAAUGCUAGAGAAGCCAUAAGCUCAAAAUAUUUCUAGUGACAAGGCACAGACUACUCUACAGAACAACCAGUUCCAUCAUGGAAACUAAGGAAGAAAAUGAGAUGUUCAAGGGUUUUCAAAUUCUUUGCUCAAGACAGCAUGCUCUGCUCACCCAUUGGCAAGCAUGAUACAUAGGAUGCAUGUGCCGUUCAGUAGAUAGAGAGAUCCACCCCCUUGGAUAUAUUGGUGGAGAAAAUGUAAAUUGAUGGAAAUGCUGGAAAAAGCAAUUCAGAUAUACGAUUUAAGAACCUUAGGUAUGUUCAUCAUUUAGUCUUAUAAUUAUCCAUCCAAGAAUCUAUUUUAAGAACAUAAACAACAAGAAAGUUUGGUAUAGGGAGGCACUUACCAGAAUAUGUUUUCUAGAAGCACUCUAAAUGGCCCAUGAUGAGGAAAAAAUAGAAUAAAUUGUAAAGACAGAGCGGUGCAGUCACAUGAAGCCAGACUGUAUAGUUAGACCUAAUGGAUGAAAAUCCAUUAGGAUUCCCAUCCUGCCGUUUACUGGCUGUGUGGGUAGGUGGGUGACUGAGGCCAGGUAAUUCUUAUCAACUCAACUAAAGAUGGGAUGUUGUAUCAUUCCCAGAGCCAUUAUGACAAUUACAUAUAAUGUUGAAUGCCAAUUGUUUAGGCGGUGGCUGGCACAUAGUAAGCGCUUAGAAGCAGUCAUUAUGAUCAUCACUAUAUAGCAAUUAUGCCAUUUAUUAAAUGUUUUCUAUAUACUAGGCAUUUAACCAACAUUAUUUUUAAGUCUUCAUGUUAACUCUUAGACUCACAUGUUAUUAAUAUUGCACAGAUGAGGAAAUUGAGGAAUAGACUGGCGAAGUAGCUUCCCCAAAUUCAUACACAUGGUAGACUGGAGUGCAGGCAUUGCUACCCAGACUGUCUACUCAGGGACCCAUGUUCUCAUCAAUGAAAUGAUGACCUCCCAUACAAUGAAAUAACCUGUGUGUCUCUUUGUGUGUGUCACACAUACACACACUCACACAGACACAGACGUCCUUGAGUUAGGGAAACUGAAGGAUUCUAUAAAAAUCUGCUUUUUGUUCCUUUCUGCUCCUUUGCUCCUCUCUUCUCGCUAAGAACUGUGACCCCAACCACUCUGCGUGUGCCUCAGGAUGCAAAUAGUCUGUGUCCUCCUUGUAAGCGACAAAGAGUUAAUCAUUUCUUUAGAACAGAUAACAUUUAAGGAAGGACCAGGUGGGAACGACCAGACAAAGCUAUCAUUUUUGUAUUGCAGAUCACCAGCCUAGACACCUUGACGCCAGGGCCUGCUGGCUCCAAGGAGAAACACUUGGGCCUUUGUCUUUGUUCUAACCAGUUCCUGGAUGCCUGAGAGGACAGAACAUGUACAUUGGACCACAAUUCUCAGUAAAAAAACCCCCACGCCUGAACAAAUGAGACUCAUACUCCUUUCCUUUUUGAGUCUCCCCGAUGCUCCGAAUAUAUCUGCUUUCUCUGUAUCUCCAAUAAACUCUGCUCUCACUGCCUGCUGGCUCAUGUUUGAUUUCUGUCCUUCAAGAAGCCAAGGACCCUCUUGGCUGGUCCUGUGAGACCCUCUCUGGCUCUGUGGACAUGGCCCGUCAGCAUCAUAAUCAGACACACACAUUUGUAUGAUAUCUAAUUAUGUAUUGCCAGUUUUAAAAAACAGAAUACCAAAUGAUAUACAUGCUAUGAGAUCUACUAUUUAAAAUGUGAAUAAAAGGGACUGAAAAUCAA